rnacentral:rRNA from 1 species
CUCCUCUGACGUUAGCGGCGGACGGGUGAGUAACACGUGGAUAACCUACCUAUAAGACUGGGAUAACUUCGGGAAACCGGAGCUAAUACCGGAUAGGAGCCAUCUUUAGUGUGGUGGUUGGAAAGUUUUUCGGUGUAGGAUGAGCUCGCGGCCUAUCAGCUUGUUGGUGGGGUAAUGGCCUACCAAGGCGGCGACGGGUAGCCGGCCUGAGAGGGUGUACGGCCACAUUGGGACUGAGAUACGGCCCAG